CCCGCCCCGCCGGGCUCAGCCCCUCUCGGGCUGUCACUGCCGGCCUGUCCCGGGGAGGCUCAGGGCGAUCGCGGGAUGCGGCGCUGAGCGCGCUCCGGUCGCUCUCUCCGUCCGUCCGUCCGUCUGUCUGUCUGUCGGUCUCCCCGCCCGGGCUCCCGCACGCCGAGAUUCCCUCCCGCAGCCCAUGAUGUGCCUGGAAAGCGACGGCUCCUCCGGCAGCAGCCCGGUCUGCGGCGGGCGGCUCCGAUCUGGCGACGAGGAGGAGGAGGAGGACGGCGAGCGGGGCUGCUGCGGCCGGGGUGCCGAGGGCGAGGUGCAGACCCUGUCGGGCAGGAUGAACCCCCCGGCGGCCGGCAAGCACCUCGACCGCCCCGCCGCCCUCCGCAAGGCGCCGACCCUCGGCCGGGCCCGGGUAGCGGCCGCCGGCAUCCUCAGCGUGGGCAACGUGCUCAACUACCUGGACCGGUACACCGUGGCAGGUGUGUUACUGGACAUCCAGCAGCACUUUGGAGUCAAAGACAGCGGGGCUGGCUUGCUGCAGACAGUUUUUAUCUGUAGUUUCAUGGUGGCGGCGCCGAUCUUUGGUUACCUUGGUGACCGCUUCAACAGGAAGAUCAUUCUCAGCUGUGGCAUCUUCUUUUGGUCAGCUGUCACUUUUUCCAGCUCCUUCAUCACUGAACAGUAUUUCUGGCUCUUUGUGCUGUCCCGGGGUUUGGUUGGCAUUGGUGAAGCGAGUUACUCCACUAUUGCACCAACCAUCAUUGGAGACCUGUUCACCAAAAACACAAGGACCCUGAUGCUCUCAGUUUUUUACUUUGCAAUUCCUCUGGGCAGUGGCCUGGGGUACAUCACUGGCUCCAGUGUGAAGCAGGUUGCUGGAGACUGGCACUGGGCACUGCGGGUAUCUCCACUCCUGGGAAUGAUAACAGGGACACUCAUCUUGAUAUUUGUGCCUGCUGCUAAAAGAGGAAAUGCUGAACAGCUUGGGGGGCAGCUGAAGGCUCGGACUUCAUGGCUGAGAGACAUGAAAGCCUUGAUUAGAAACCGCAGCUAUGUGUUCUCAUCCCUGGCCACCUCAGCUGUCUCCUUUGCCACGGGGGCACUUGGGAUGUGGAUCCCUCUGUACCUUCACAGAGCACAGGUGGUGCAGAAGACAGCAGAGACCUGCAGCUCCCAGCCCUGUGGCACCAAGGAUAGUUUGAUCUUUGGAGCAAUCACAUGCUUCACUGGCUUCCUGGGUGUAAUCACAGGGGCAGGAGCCACCAAAUGGUGCAGGUCCAAGACCCAGCGAGCUGAUCCUCUUGUCUGUGCUGUUGGAAUGCUGGGAUCAGCCAUCUUCAUCUGUCUGAUCUUCGUGGCAGCCAAGAGCAGCAUCGUGGGAGCCUAUAUUUGCAUUUUUAUCGGAGAAACUCUUCUGUUCUCAAACUGGGCUAUCACAGCAGACAUACUAAUGUACGUGGUCAUUCCAACUCGCCGAGCAACCGCAGUGGCCUUGCAGAGUUUCACUUCACACCUCCUGGGAGAUGCUGGCAGUCCUUAUCUCAUUGGAUUUAUCUCCGACCUGAUACGACAAAGCACAAAGGAGUCCCCAGUGUGGGAGUUCCUCAGCCUGGGUUAUGCUCUCAUGCUCUGCCCCUUCGUGGUUGUCCUGGGAGGGAUGUUCUUCCUGGCCACAGCCCUCUUCUUCCUCAGUGACCGAGCCAAAGCUGAGCAACAUAAAGAAACCGAUUCGGAUCAUCUCACGGUUGGCAACUACAGUAAUUCAGAAGACGCUUCCACAUGACAUACAAACUUCUGGGGGUGAAUCAGCUUGUGAUGCCACCAGCCUCUGUGAAAGUCUGAGACGCUGCCAGUGAAGGCCAGGACACGUGGACUCCUGCUCCCACCACACCAAUCCCAACCUGGAACCCUCCUGUGCUGGGUGUCAGUGGAUCCUUCAGCUCCACAUCACAGAGGGGGUCUCCAUCUCUCCAUCCCUCUCUCCAGCCUGCAGGGUCAGGCACCAGGAGAUGAGCAGGGCAGCCGGGAACGUGGAAACUUCUGGAACACAAGGACAUUCAGGGGUCCCCUGAGCAUGGACACCAACUGUCCACUGGACCCAGAAAAAGCUGCCCAAGUGAGCAACUGUAGAUUGUGUAAAUGGUUUUAGUUGUAGCCAAUGAAGUCCACAUUGUUUGUGGGGCAGCUGGUGUCCUAUGGAAUGCUGCUGCUCUGCCAGCACUCCCACUCCCACAGACUGCACUAGUUGAGGACCUGUUCUGUACAUCACCUUUUCUUUGACACUGAAGGCUUGAUUCAGAUUAUUAUUUUUUAUUUAAAUAUAAGAUGCUUUAUAUCUGCUGGAGACAUUAGAUGAGAUAUAUAUAUAUAUAUAUAUACUUAGAUAAAUUUUUUAUUUAAACAUUUGAAAUCUGGAGCUGCCUGUGCAACCAUAGCAGACAUGAAUAACGUCCACAGCUCUCCUCCUCUCAGUGCCCAGGUGCCAGGGCCUGCAAGGGCACCACAGGAAAACUUCCAGUGGCUGCCCCACCUGUCACUGAGACUGAGCAAUGGGACAGAGGAGAGAGUUUCACUGCACUGGGUGUGCUGGUGGUUGUCACAGAAAGGCCCAGAAGAACGUUGGACAGAAAUCCCUACAGGCUCUAGAGUUUUCCAUAUGCUAAAUUCAGCCUUCCUAGGAGGUUCACAGGCUUUUAAAAUACCAAAAUCCAGCUGGCUGAAUGGCUGCACCUUGGGCCUGGGAGUGCAAUACUGCUGUGCCAGUGACCUCGUGCUUUGUUUACAUGAUACCAUAUCAGACUGUCAAUGCUAAUUCUCCCUGCCAAUAUCCCAGAGCAGGAGGCUGGCACUGCCUUCAGAGCAGUGCUUGGUUCCUGCCCACCCAGCCUGAGCUGGCACUGGGGUGUGCCUGUACCUGUACCUGUACCUGUACCUGUACCUGUACCUGCACCUGUACCUGUACCUGUACCUGUACCUGCACCUGUACCUGUAGCUGUACCUGUACCUGUACCUGUACCUGUGCAGAGGUGCCUUUGAGAGCUGUCAGACAAGGCCAGAGCUGAACUGGGUUGGGCUCUAACGCAGGAGCUGUCGUGGUGCCAUCCCAUGGAGCCUUGAGCCAAAGCUGUGCUGUGUCAGCUGGGUGGGGAGCAAGGGGGGCACAGGUCCUGGAGAGGGCCAGGCUGCCACAGGAAGGGCACUUGGGGUCCAGGGAGGAAUAAAUGAGCUCAGGAAGUGUCAGAGCAGAACCAGAUGUGAGUUAGGGCUGGAGCUGCCGUCCUGGCUGUGCCAUAAGGCCUCUCAGGCACAGCAGGGUGCUGUUAGCAAACCUGGGUUUGUCUCCCUUUCCCUGCCAGGAUGUGCUGGGAGCUGCAGCACAGCUCUGCAGCAGAGAUGGUUCCAGAGCCAGGGGCUCACCCCAUGGCAAAUCCCUGCCAGGCUGGGGAUUCCUGUGAUCCCCUGAGCCCUCCCUCCUCCCAGAGCUCAAGGACUCCUCUGCAAGGGUUCUGUCACCUGCAAUUCCUGAACAAGAGCUCCAGGAGUUGGCUAAAGAACCAGAGCCAGAAGUGUUCCUCUAGUGCCUGAGCAAGCAGGUGCUAGAAACAACAAAGCAAAGCAAAUCCCAACAAUGCUUCACUUCCUACCUCGUGCCACUAUUUACACUCAGAGGGGAAACACAGCAGCUCUAGUCUGGGAGCCAAACACUUGGCUUUAAAGGCACAUGAAUUUCUGAUUCCCAUUAAGAAAUUCCUUUUUAAGCUGUUUAAAAGGAAACAAAAAGCAACCCAACAAUCAGUCAUUUCAUCUCAGAGACCAAAGAAGAUUAACCACAUUUUCUAAAUUGCUUUUCUGAUAGGCUCUCUGUUGUGUAGCAUUUAUUGUCAACAAAAUGGAACAUUUCUGCUAAGGUUCAGAGAUUAGGAAUUCUCCUUAAACUUAAUUCUCAGGAGUCAGCAAUGAAAAGGGAACUGAAGUGUUCUGUAAUGUCACUGGCAAUCCUUGUUUGUGACAGGCUCCAGUCCCUGCUGCUUUUAUCCUUUGUGCACAUGAAGGAAAUGCUGUGGAUUCUGUUUAAACAAGGACAGAGGGAAGGGAGCAAACAAAGGAGUGAGAAUGAGUCCUGCCUUCACCAAGGGAUCCCUGAAUCCCUGCUCCCACAUGUUCCAGGCUGAGACAGGGAGGCUCAGGCUCUUCAGGUCCUUGCUGCAUUCAGCAGGGCCUGUGCAGUGUCCAGGGGCACCAGGGAGGCUCCAGCUCCCCUCAGUUAAUCACCAGGGUUUUCUCCUACCCCACUCCAUAAAGGGGAUUUGUUUAAAGCAUGAACCCCCCCAGCUGAUCCUGCACUGGCACUUGGGUGGAUUGUACAGGGUGGCACACUGAGGCAGUGGCACCUGCCCAGAGAAGCAAGAGAAUGACCCAGAAGUGCCACCCCAAGGGGCUCCUGCUGCCACCACCCCAGAGCAGGUCUGGGUGGCCCCAGGAGCCUCUCCCCUUACAGUCAGGGUGACUGAACCCCAAAAAUGUCCCCAAAAAUGUCUGGCUGUGCUCUGGGAAGCAGAGUUCUCCCAAGCUCCACCCCAGAUGCUUCUUCUCUUCUCCAUUGGCUUUAUUGUCUGGCAAACCAGCACUUACAAUCACUUUUACUACGUGAUGUAUGGGAGUAUUAGUGUAUUUUCUUGUUAUACAAGGGAGGAGUAUAAAAUAGUUUUCUGAUUUCUUUCAGAAGCAAAUGACUAUUUUAUUUUUUAAGAGCAAUUGAUUGUGAAUCUCAGAGUAUAAAAAAAAAAGAUAAGCCAAAUAUAUACCUUUAUGUAAAUUAAGAAAUAAAAGUAUUUAAAAUG